UUUGGGUUGUGGUAAUUGAGGGAAUUGACAAUCUGACCAUUUGAGCAGGUUAGUAAUUGAGGGAACUGAUAAUCUGAUUUUUUUUUUUUUUUGAAACCAAGUACUAAGUCAAGAAUAACAAUUUGAUCAUCUAAAUUGGUCUCUGGUUCCCUACAUCACAUAUUUGAGUUGGUUAUUUUUUGGUAUGACAUUGAGCAAGAUUGGUGUGGUGUUGAGCCCAAGCUUGAUUGUACAAGUCUGGAAG
rnacentral:lncRNA from 1 species